rnacentral:rRNA from 1 species
UACAGAGGUCUCAAGCGUUGUUCGGAUUCAUUGGGCGUAAAGGGUGUGUAGGUGGCGCCGUAAGUCGGGUGUGAAAUUUCGGAGCUUAACUCCGAAACUGCAUUCGAUACUGCGGUGCUUGAGGACUGGAGAGGAGACUGGAAUUCAUGGUGUAGCAGUAGAAAUGCGUAGAGAUCAUGAGGAAGACCAGUGGCGAAGGCGGGUCUCUGGACAGUUCCUGACACUGAGACACGAAGGCCAGGGGAGCAAACGGG